AAGAGACGUUGCCCUUCGGGGUAUACCUCCCACCCUUUGUUUAUUAUACCUUUGUUGCUUUGGCGGGCCCGUCCUCGGACCACCGGCUUCUGCUGGUCAGUGCCCGCCAGAGGACCUAAAACUCUGUUUGUUAAUAUAUGUCUGUAGUACUAUAUAAUAGUUA
rnacentral:misc_RNA from 1 species